UACGUAGGGGGCAAGCGUUGUCCGGAAUCAUUGGGCGUAAGGAGCGUGUAGGCGGCUCGGUAAGUCCGCUGUGAAAGUCCAGGGCUCAACCCUGGAAUGCCGGUGGAAACUGUCGAGCUAGAGUCCGGAAGAGGCGAGUGGAAUUCCUGGUGUAGCGGUGAAAUGCGCAGAUAUCAGGAGGAACACCAAUGGCGAAGGCAGCUCGCUGGGACGGUACUGACGCUGAGACGCGAAAGCUAGGGGAGCAAACAGG
rnacentral:rRNA from 1 species